CAAGUCGAGCGGUAACAGAAAGUAGCUUGCUACUUUGCUGACGAGCGGCGGACGGGUGAGUAAUGCUUGGGAACAUGCCUUGAGGUGGGGGACAACAGUUGGAAACGACUGCUAAUACCGCAUAAUGUCUACGGACCAAAGGGGGCUUCGGCUCUCGCCUUUAGAUUGGCCCAAGUGGGAUUAGCUAGUUGGUGAGGUAAUGGCUCACCAAGGCAACGAUCCCUAGCUGGUUUGAGAGGAUGAUCAGCCACACUGGAACUGAGACACGGUCCAGACUCCUACGGGAGGCAGCAGUGGGGAAUAUUGCACAAUGGGCGAAAGCCUGAUGCAGCCAUGCCGCGUGUGUGAAGAAGGCCUUCGGGUUGUAAAGCACUUUCAGUCAGGAGGAAAGGGUGUGAGUUAAUACCUCAUAUCUGUGACGUUACUGACAGAAGAAGCACCGGCUAACUCCGUGCCAGCAGCCGCGGUAAUACGGAGGGUGCGAGCGUUAAUCGGAAUUACUGGGCGUAAAGCGUACGCAGGCGGUUUGUUAAGCGAGAUGUGAAAGCCCCGGGCUCAACCUGGGAACUGCAUUUCGAACUGGCAAACUAGAGUGUGAUAGAGGGUGGUAGAAUUUCAGGUGUAGCGGUGAAAUGCGUAGAGAUCUGAAG
rnacentral:rRNA from 1 species